rnacentral:rRNA from 1 species
GCAGCAGCCGCGGUAAUACGAAGGGUGCAAGCGUUAAUCGGAAUUACUGGGCGUAAAGCGUGCGUAGGCGGUUUGUUAAGUCUGUUGUGAAAUCCCCGGGCUCAACCUGGGAAUGGCAAUGGAUACUGGCAAGCUAGAGUGUGUCAGAGGAUGGUGGAAUUCCCGGUGUAGCGGUGGAAUGCGUAGAGAUCGGGAGGAACAUCAGUGGCGAAGGCGGCCAUCUGGGACAACACUGACGCUGAGGCACGAAAGCGUGGGGAGCAAACAGGAUUAGAUACCCCCGUAGUCCCUGUCUCUUAUAA